rnacentral:rRNA from 1 species
UACGUAGGGGGCGAGCGUUGUCCGGAUUUAUUGGGCGUAAAGAGCGUGUAGGCGGCUGGGUAGGUCCGUUGUGAAAACUCGAGGCUCAACCUCGAGACGCCGAUGGAAACCAUCCAGCUAGAGUCCGGAAGAGGAGAGUGGAAUUCCUGGUGUAGCGGUGAAAUGCGCAGAUAUCAGGAGGAACACCGGUGGCGAAGGCGGGUCUCUGGGCCGAAAUUGACGCUGAGGAGCGAAAGCGUGGGGAGCAAACAGG